UCCUCUUUCAGCUCGAUUAUCUCUCAGAAGCUGAUGCUACACAAAGUGUUAAGACAAAGUCAUAGAAACAAAAAUAUUUUCAUUAUAUUAUUUUGCAAGUAGGAAAAUAUUCUCAUUCAAAGGGACACUACUCAUUUAUUUGCACGGCUUUUUUUUUUUUUUUUUAACUGGUUUCUCUUAAAGCAAAGACUGUAAGUACUACUUUUUCUGGAGUUCAAUAGUUCAGGGAGACAAGUUUUUCUUUUUAAAAUUCAUUCUUUAUUGUCACUGUUGCAAAAUUAUCAGUGAGAGUUAGCAAUCGAGUUCUUCCUGGACAGCUAAACUGCCCUCUUAGUCAGUUAAGAUGUAGCCUGGAGAUGGAAGCCUAGAACUCAGUUCUUUUUUUGGUUCACUGCAGUAGCCCUGGUUGAAGUAAUGCAACCUCUCUUGUCAACGGCCUUCACUGUUGCAUUCAGCUGUGAAUUUUUUAAGGCUUUGUUACCUAUGCUGACAUAAAGAGCUAAUAUUAUUUUCUCUGUACCUACUGGCCUAACAUGGUAAAGAAACACGCUUAAAACAUUCUUCUUCAAAGAAAUUAUUGGCUUGGAAAUAUAUAAUUAGAAAAAAACAUAUUUGAUUGCCUCCUCAAAAUGCCUUACCAUCCACUUCCCUUUACACUUGCUUUACCCUAACUAAUUGGAAAGAAAAAAACAAAUAGUCAAUAUUCUUCACUAUGUGCUCACUCAAACUCUAGCUUAUCUUAUUUAUGCAGAAAAUAUGAUUAUAUGCAAGACUGGGCUAAAACGAAGUUGUACAGAAUAUUAGCAAUUAACCCCAACAAAAAUGCUAUAAAACUGGAACAUAGGAAAUGCUGAGAAAUAAUAUGGCUUAAAUGCUAUGAUUAUAAUUAUGAUGAAAAUUAAUGGGACUAGCUCUCAGUAGGUAUUAUCUGACCAGUAUCAAUAAUUUCUAAUGACGAAUAACUGCUUUGAACUGUUCAAUUACAUCACUUAGAAUCAAUUAUUAGUUUACUUAGCUGUCCUUGAGAAGGAAUAGACCUUCCUUAGAUGAUCAAGAAUAUGGUUAGGCUCAUUCUUUCAGGAACGUCUGAACUAAAUAAGUAUUCUUAAAUUUUCUCUUAAAUAUCUACUUCUUUUCAUCCCCCUUGCAACCAUCCCAGUUUAGACCACCAUUUUCUCUGUCCUGGAAAAGUCUCCCAAAUGAUCUCCCUGCUUCCAGGCCUGCUUCCUUCUAAUCUACUCUCCACACUGCAGACACUAUGAGCUUUCUAAAAUUAAUCUAAUUAUAUGACUCUAUGGAGAUCAAACUCAAAAUCUUGUACAAGGCUUUCAUGACCCUUCAUAAUUUGAUUACAUCUCUAAAUUCAUAAUUUAUUAUGCUUCCUCCUACCCCAACCUAACCUUCUUUCUUCUAAAUUAUAUAUCCUAGCCAUAGUGAAGUUCUUAGUUUGGGGUAUGUACCAUGCUGUUGCUCAUCUCUGGCCCUUUGCUUGGGUUAUGCAAUUUGCCUAUAUCUUCAGGGUUCAUGCACUGUGUCUGGAGCAUUUUAGUGCUCAGCAAAUAUUUGCUGAAUGAAUGGAUGAAUGAAAUAAAGGAACAGGAAGUGAGAUCUGGUAUCUGAUAUGUAGCUGAAGCCAUAUCUCAUUAUUACUACUUAUAGAAAAGAGCAACCAGUUAUCUUAAAUCCAUUAAUCUGAAAGUGUUUCAAUUUAGAAACACUUCGUACCAUGAACACUAAAUUGUUUCUGAAAAUAAAGAAAAUUAAUUACUUUGGCAUUUCUAAGUCUAGUGCCUUUUAAAAAAUAUAUAUACAAACCAACAUUUGUGACACAGAUAGCUAGAAGUAAGAUGAUGAAAUCUCUACCUCUACAUUAAAUUAAUAAUAAUAGUUAAUAGUUAAUUAUGUUUUCUAAUUCUAAGAUAAAAGACAGAUACUUGAACACUAUUCCUGAGGCUUGUGUUACAACAGUUCAAACAAAGAACUCAAAAUCCCAAACCAAAUGUUAUGGAAAAAAAAAUAAAAAAUUUAUAGUUUAGUUUUGAAAAAUGCAAUUAUAAGGACCAAAAUAAACAUUAGGUUGUAUCUACUAGGUUUCGAUAGUUCUCAGAGAGGCCACCAAUCUGGAUGAAUUUAAAUGAGAUAGCACCCUCUCUGAACGUUGAUGUUAUAGCUCCUUUUAUUAGAUUUAUAUUAUAAUGUGUUUUCUUCCUCAAAUGUAUAGUUUUGAUGGGCUUUGUACAUAAAAACAAGUCAAACAAUGGCAUUACUUAAUGCAAUGCAUCUAUAUGUAUAAAACCCAUCACAAACUUAUCUCACCUUAUCAGUACAAUUAUACAUCUGGGGAUACCACUGCAACUUCAAAAGGAAGCUCAGAUAAAACUACAGAGAUCUCUGGGUCAUGAAUCACAAGUUAAUAUGUGAGCUUAGAUCUUUUAUGGGGCAAAGAUGAAAAAAUUAAUCUAAGGUGUUACUUGAACAACAUGUAUUUGCAUUUAGAAGGCUCCUGGCCAGGUGCAGUGGCUCACGCCUGUAAUCCCAGCACUUUGGGAGGCCAUGGCGGGCGGAUCACCUGAAGUCGGGAGUUCGAAACCAGCCUGGCCAACAUAGCGAAACCUUGUCUCUACUAAAAAUAGAAAAAUUAGCCGGGCAUGGUGGCAGGCGCCUGUAAUUAAUCCCAGCUACUCAGGGAGGCUGAGGCAUGAGAAUCGUUUGAACUCGGGAGACGGAGGUUGCAGUGAGCCGAGAUUGCGCCACUGCACUCCAGCCUGGAUGAAAAAGUGAGACUCUGUCUCAAAAAAAAAAGAAGACUCCCAACAUAUUUUUUUUUAAAGUCAGAUUAUGAAUUCAAAACAAACAAGAAUCCUUGAUCCCUGCUCUAAUAAGCAAGAGCAGCU
rnacentral:lncRNA from 1 species